CCUUACAACCCGUUCAGCUAUUCUAAUAUUUAACGCUUCUUUUACCCACUGCCUGGAAGUUGAACUGCAAUGCAAGCAAGGCACCAGCGCUGCCCUAAGUCAGGGGGAAGCCCACAGAGGGCUACUACUCAUUGAAAAGUGCCCCAGAACUCAACCCUGCCUUAGGAACAGGGCUGCAGCACUUCAUCUUUUGCCUCGAGGCCAGUCCCCGUGCUGGCUGACACUUCUGCUUCCCAGCAGGGCAAUCACACACCCGCCACCAACAGCAGGAGGAAGGACACCAGGCCGGCAUCCUCUGCUUCUCAGCCCGGUGAGGAGCCCAAGGGCAAACUGCUGAUCUCAAGGGUGCCCCGAGCAGACAAAGCUGUGCGUCUGAGACAAACGGAGCAGCCCAGCAGCUGGCUGUUUCAGAGGAAAUUCCAGUCCCUGCUCAAAGGCUGAAAAUACAUAUGCUUUUCUAAACUUGAGCAACUGUGCCACUUCUGGAAAAACAACCUCGCGUCCAACUUUUGUCCCAGCAGCUUCUCCCUCCGCCCCCAGGCCUCCGGAUCACACUGUUUCCCCACAACCACAGAUCCUCUUCAGCAGGGCUCCUCCGCUACCUGGGCUGUCUGUCAGCAGCACCAAAAGCCCAUAAAGCAGAGGCGUAUGGGUGCGCAGGGAAGAAGGACACACAGAUUACAGAUGGGAGACAGCGAGCAGCAUUAUACGGCUAAUUCUGUAGGGGAAACUAAAGCCCACUGUGUGUAGAGGCUGCAGAGCAAAGCUCAACGGAGAGGGCCGCUCAUGUUAGUGAGGAGCCCUUCAGCUUUCCAUUCCUUAUAUGUGCAAAGUGUGCAAGCCCGCACACACAGCUCUCUACUCACCCAGAGGUACAUCAUGUUAGCCUGGGUCGCUCGAACCCAGCAGUGAGAUGAUCCGGGAACGCAGGAGGCACUUCAGGAAAAAGCUGACGAG